UUCUGCUUACUGAUCCCUACCCAGGAUGCCACAGCCCCCAUGUCUAUCAGCGCAUGCCCACCGCACAUAACCUGAGAAUUCCCGCCAAUCAGUUAAUCAAACGUGUUGAUGUGUUUUUAGCGUAAAGUAUUUAUAACCGCUUUCCAAGCUUUAACCAGCCACAGACCCGAGAGACAUUGCUCGAAAACAGCACAUUUUCCAGCAAAAAGUUAUUUCAGAUUAUAUAUCGACGCUUCCUUACUUGAAAGAUGGUGCCAUCAACAUUAGUCUUCGUUUUGGUUUUGGUGGCCCUUGGUGGUGCUGCUUCUGUGGAGAAUGUAGUUUGCACUUCAGAUUUUGAAAUGAUCCUUUCUGAAGAUUGUAAAACCCUCCAUCGUUGUGUCUGGGGAAAGCCCAUAAAAAUGUCUGAUUGUCCCUCAGGACUCAUCUAUAAUCGACAGAAUUUUGUGUGCGUGUUCCCGCACAGCGAACAUGACGACUGUACGGCAAACUAAGAUGACUAGUUGGCCAGACAAUCGCUUUAAGAGGCUGAAGGGGAGUUGGGUUGGGUUUCGAAUGAAAUUGACUAUAUUCCUUAUUUCGCAGAGUUAGUCACAGAAACAUUAUAUGCUCCCCAGAAAUCAUCUGAAGAGGAAGGCGAUUGCUUUAUUCUUUUUAACAAUAUGAAUUAGUAAAUGUUUCAUAUGCAUGAAUAAAACUGUUUUAAAUAAAGGUAAAAAUUA